AAUCCAUGAUGGGAGCACUUCCUUAACAUCAAUUUAAAAUGCUCCCAUGUCUUGUACAAAUUCUCUCCUUUAACUUGCUUGAAGCUUGUGAUCUCACGCCUAAGUUG
rfam:Gossypium arboreum cultivar AKA8401 contig_15442_5, whole genome shotgun sequence.